AACCGGAUUAGAUACCCUGGUAGUCCACGCCGUAAACGAUGUCGACUUGGAGGUUGUUCCCUUGAGGAGUGGCUUCCGGAGCUAACGCGUUAAGUCGACCGCCUGGGGAGUACGGCCGCAAGGUUAAAACUCAAAUGAAUUGACGGGGGCCCGCACAAGCGGUGGAGCAUGUGGUUUAAUUCGAUGCAACGCGAAGAACCUUACCUACUCUUGACAUCCACGGAAUUUGGCAGAGAUGCCUUAGUGCCUUCGGGAACCGUGAGACAGGUGCUGCAUGGCUGUCGUCAGCUCGUGUUGUGAAAUGUUGGGUUAAGUCCCGCAACGAGCGCAACCCUUAUCCUUUGUUGCCAGCGAUUCGGUCGGGAACUCAAAGGAGACUGCCGGUGAUAAACCGGAGGAAGGUGGGGAUGACGUCAAGUCAUCA
rnacentral:rRNA from 1 species